GCCGGCCCCGUGAGGCCUCCCGUGGCCCAUUUUCAGCUGGCAGAGUGCUGCAGGAGGCUGUGGAGGCUGAAAACAGGCCAUGUGGUGGCUGCCCAGGGCCUCUGUGUGGCCAGUUUUUGGCUGGCAGAGUGUUGCAGGAGGACUGAAUUGGACUGGAUUACAAUUAUGUGGCCUCAAGAUUCUGGACAGUAUGGAUAUCUGUCAGAAUGAAGUCCAGCAAGUCUCUAACCUGCCGCAGAUAAUGCCCUGAUUGAGACUGAGUGGGCUUGAUGUACACUACAAGCUAUAUGGGGAGGGGGGAAAUUUUCCCCUCUUCCUUCCACGCCUUUAGCCAUGCUGAUUGAUAGAGAUAUGAUACACACAUCUGAAAGGUACCAGUUUGUCAAAGGCUGCUUUAUAAAAUAAUAACAGUAAUGGCAACAACAAAGUAAAGCUAAGCAAAAGCCUUCAUACUC